UCCCAGGUGGCUCAGUGGUAAAGAAUCUGCCUGCCAAGCAGGAGAUGCAGGUUCGAUCCCUGGGUCAGGAA
rnacentral:tRNA from 1 species